rnacentral:rRNA from 1 species
UACGUAGGGGGCAAGCGUUGUCCGGAAUCAUUGGGCGUAAAGCGCGUGUAGGCGGCCCGGUAAGUCCGCUGUGAAAGUCGAGGGCUCAACCCUCGAAAGCCGGUGGAUACUGUCGGGCUAGAGUGCGGAAGAGGCGAGUGGAAUUCCUGGUGUAGCGGUGAAAUGCGCAGAUAUCAGGAGGAACACCGAUGGCGAAGGCAGCUCUCUGGGCCUGUUCUGACGCUGAGGAGCGAAAGCUGGGGGAGCGAACAGG